rnacentral:rRNA from 1 species
CCCGGCGACCGGCGCACGGUGAGUAACACGUAUGAAACCUGCCCGUAGCAGGGGGAUAAGCGGAAGAAAUUCCGUCUAAUACCGCGUAACAACCCAUGGAGGCAUCUCUGUGGGUUUAAAGGAAGCGAUUCCGGCUACGGAUGGUCAUGCGUCGCAUUAGCCUGUUGGCGGGGUAACGGCCCACCAAGGCGACGAUGCGUAGGGGUUCUGAGAGGAAGGUCCCCCCACACUGGUACUGAGACACGGACCAGACUCCUACGGAAGGCAGCAG